AGUCCCGUAGUCUAGCGGUCAAUGAUUCUGCCCUUUGGAGGCAGAGACCCAGGUUCGAAUCCUGGCGGGACUA
rnacentral:tRNA from 1 species